UACGGGGGGGGCAAGCGUUGUUCGGAAUUACUGGGCGUAAAGGGCUCGUAGGUGGCCAACUAAGUCAGACGUGAAAUCCCCAGGCUCAACUUGGGAACUGCGUCUGAUACUGGAUGGCUUGAAUUCGGGAGAGGGAUGCAGAAUUCCAGGUGUAGCGGUGAAAUGCGUAGAUAUCUGGAGGAAUACCGGUGGCGAAGGCGGCAUCCUGGACCGAGAUUGACACUGAAAAGCGAAAGCCAGGGGAGCAAACGGG
rnacentral:rRNA from 1 species